rnacentral:misc_RNA from 1 species
CUGAGUUAGGGUCUCUUCUUGAGCCCGAACCUCCAACCCUUUGUUAAAAACACUUUGUUGCUUUGGCAGGCCCGUCCUAUCCUUUAACCGGGAGACGACCGCCGGGGGCGUUUAGUCACCUCUGGUCAGUGCUUGCCGAUAGCCUAUUCAAAAUUCUUUAUUAAAUAAUGUCUGAAAAAUUAUAAUUAAAUAUAAUUA